GGACACAACCCUGGAGAGAACCUAUUGCCAUAGGUCAUCGAAGAAGUAACUUGCAUGUUUGCGAGGAAGCUUUCAGAUAAAAGGACAGGGGGUAGAAA
rnacentral:ncRNA from 1 species